UACUCUGCCUGACUAAAAUAAAAACAUUGUAUGUGAAAGGUUCAUUAUUCAUCCCAAUAUUAAGUUCAAGAAAUAUCUUGGUGGGAUAUGAUGCAUGGUGCAUGCUUUAGACAGCUUCAAACUUUGUGCCUUAUGCCAAGAUUUAGGGAACUGACUAGACUCUGCUACAUUCUAUUGGGUUAAUAGUCCAUUUAUUCCAAAUGGUGCAUGCAGAAAUUCCAGAACCCAAUGUAUCAUAGAAAAAGAUGAUGCUGAUUUUUAAUUCAACUUCAUUUCUUUUUUUGUUAAUGCAGACCUAUGUUGAAGAAAUGAGGAAGAUACUUAUGGACAAAAAUUGGGGAGUUCCAACCACAAUAUGUUGGGGCCAAAGAGACCGCUGGUUAACCUUUGAUGGAGUUGAAGAUUUCUGUGAAAUUUCAAAGCAUAGACUCAUCGAACUUCCUAUGGCAGGGCAUCAUGUACAGGAGGAUUGUGGUGAAGAGCUCGGACAAAUCAUAGCUGGAAUCAUUAGCAAAAGGACUAGAUUUUGAUGUUGCUUAGUAAUUGUUUGUGGCUGGCUUCAGAUCAUUCAUGUGUGUCAUUUGUGCCCCGUGAAUCUUCGCACUUAUUUGCGGGUCUUUCCCCUUUUAUAUUUGUUGACCGUCUUUGAAUUGUGUUUUUUAGAUUUGUUCUAUGUUUGUGAUUGUAUGUUGGUCUUUGAAAAUUCUUUGAAAGUUUAAUUUUCCGUUAGAUGUAAUUCUCAGUAUAUUUGUAAUUU